UGUGUGUGUGUGUGUGUGUGAAUGCGUGUGCAUAGCUAGCCAUCCUAAUGGGUAGGAAAUGUUACCAGCCCACUGGGCUGUGAAGGGCUUAACUCACCUUGAGCGUUGGGAGCGGGAGGAAAAGACAGAGACAAACAGAUAACAAGGUUGAACAAUGUCCUCAUGCACAAAACCAUGUCCAUAAAGAAAUGGUUUCCCUAGUUUGGUCUGGGAGACCUUGACUGACCUGAACAGAGCCCUGACUUUAAGCCCUUCCAACACCUUUGGGAUGCCACAUCACCCAACAUCAGCGCCCAGCUUUAAUAAGGCUCCUGUGGCUGAAUGGAUGCCCAUGAAGUUACAUGUUCAGCAAUCACAUAUGGGUUCAGAUGACAGGGGCAGGCAAUAAUGUUUGGUGAGGGCAGAGAAUGCAGGAGACAAUGAGGCAAUGUCAGGUCGCGAUGCUCCUGACACUCUGUGGAGUUAACACGCAGUGGAGCUUCAAAGACGUGUCUUUCAAGUGUCGGAAGAUGUAAGCCGCAAUGGUGUCUCUCCCGUUUGGUGUCAAGGAGGUACUUCAUUGUGAUCAACCCUGAGAGGGGAACAAAGGCCAGCUGGGGAAAGUAAUGCCAAGAAGACAGGCGAGCUCACGGUGAAUCCUUGUCACCACUCUUCUGAAGAACUUGAUGUAACUUCAUAAAGCUAAUGAGCUGUGACCUUGUAGCCUGGAUGCUAAUUAUAACAGAGGACAUUUGAAGGUAAAAUAUUGUGUAUCUCGCAAUCUGUUUAUUUGUGCUUUUAUACUUUUUAAACAGUAGAGUUCAAAGCAGUUGCUGUUUAGACUUAUGACCAAGUUUUGCUGACAGCUCAGGAUAUUAUAAUUAACAGAUUUACAUUGACCCCCUUUGAAAGGGCAUGAAACUUGAGAACUGUUUUUUUUUUUUCAAACACACUUACUUGAAUAUACUUGACA